GACGAACGCUGGCGGCGUGCUUAACACAUGCAAGUCGAACGAAGAGCGAUGGAAGCUUGCUUCUAUCAAUCUUAGUGGCGAACGGGUGAGUAACGCGUAAUCAACCUGCCCUUCAGAGGGGGACAACAGUUGGAAACGACUGCUAAUACCGCAUACGAUCUGACCUCGGCAUCGAGGAUAGAUGAAAGGUGGCCUCUACAUGUAAGCUAUCACUGAAGGAGGGGAUUGCGUCUGAUUAGCUAGUUGGAGGGGUAACGGCCCACCAAGGCGAUGAUCAGUAGCCGGUCUGAGAGGAUGAACGGCCACAUUGGGACUGAGACACGGCCCAGACUCCUACGGGAGGCAGCAGUGGGGAAUCUUCCGCAAUGGACGAAAGUCUGACGGAACAACGCCGCGUGAGUGAUGACGGCCUUCGGGUUGUAAAGCUCUGUUAAUCGGGACGAAAGGCCUUUUUGCGAAUAGUGAGAAGGAUUGACGGUACCGGAAUAGAAAGCCACGGCUAACUACGUG
rnacentral:rRNA from 1 species